GAGCCGCAUGCUCGGACUGUGUAAUGUACCCCACUUAGUGUGGAGCAAGUCUCUUUUGAGAGGUGCAGAAAAGUCCAUGGCUGUAAUAUAUGCGAUAGUUUUCCAAAGACUGAAGUUUCUCUCUGGAGCACUUAGAUUCUGACUAAUGUGACUGCCCAAUUUGCUUGUAACACACAUAGCUAGUGCGUAUUAUACAAAGUUGAGCUGCAGAUCUCUUGUAAUACAUGAAAAGGAAGUGUGUUUUCUACUGUUUUGAAAUCUGUUGGAUGCUUUGGCACAAGAAAUCAAAUUGAAAGGGCAUUAAGGUGUUUGGUGGGGUUAGUUUUGUCUUUUUUAAAUUAUGAAAAGAACAGCUAAGCUAUCGGGAUACAUUUACAUCCUCACUGUUCUGAAUAUAGUAGAGGCUGCAGAGGUACAACAGGAGCUUCAUAAGGACCGGCUGAGCAUUUACAUUGGGCCAUUUACAGUCAGUCUUAAGUAAUUUGAUCUUAAUGUCCGUCUCGGCUUUCCUCCCUUAUGGUGUAUACCUACAGGGUACGUAUAUGCUGUAAAAAGUUUGAGGUACACAAAACACACCUGCAAAGUAAAAUCUGCUGAAAUUGUGAGAGAAUGGUUUUCUUUAUAGGUUUUUAUAGUCCUUCCACAAUUCUAAUAUUCUGAAUAGCACUUGUUCUUCACAAAUUGAACAUAUCAGGAUUAUGGAGACAGUGUGUUUAAGCUGUGUAACUUUCAGAUUUAUAAGAUGUUCCCUGUAUUCCACAACAUGCAGUUAGUGUUAAUCAGAUUAGACAGCAUGAAUCUUCCUGAUAGUUUUGAAAACAAUUGUGGAAUAAUUUGAACUGCAGCAGGUCAGUACUAGGAACAAUAGAAAUGAGCUGACACUGGUAAAUACCUUUGUGGUAGGGACUGGCUGUAUGGCAGUUCUGUGGAGCUAAGGGUGGAGAGAAUAAGACU